rnacentral:rRNA from 1 species
AGAGUUUGAUCCUGGCUCAGGACGAACGCUGGCGGCGUGCCUAAUACAUGCAAGUCGAACGAGCGAUACCUUCGGGUAAAGCUAGUGGCGGACGGGUGAGUAACACGUAGGCAACCUGCCUGUAAGAUCGGGAUAACUACCGGAAACGGUAGCUAAGACCGAAUAGCUGAUCUUGGUGCAUGCCGGGAUCAUGAAACACG